UGGGGAAUAUUGCACAAUGGGCGCAAGCCUGAUGCAGCCAUGCCGCGUGUGUGAAGAAGGCCUUCGGGUUGUAAAGCACUUUCAGCGAGGAGGAAGGUGGUGAACUUAAUACGUUCAUCAAUUGACGUUACUCGCAGAAGAAGCACCGGCUAACUCCGUGCCAGCAGCCGCGGUAAUACGGAGGGUGCAAGCGUUAAUCGGAAUUACUGGGCGUAAAGCGCACGCAGGCGGUUUGUUAAGUCAGAUGUGAAAUCCCCGGGCUCAACCUGGGAACUGCAUUUGAAACUGGCAAGCUAGAGUCUCGUAGAGGGGGGUAGAAUUCCAGGUGUAGCGGUGGAAAUGCGUAGAGAUCUGGAGGAAUACCGGUGGCGAAGGCGCCCCCUGGANGAAGACUGACGCUCAGGUGCGAAAGCGUGGGGAGCAAACAGGAUUAGAGUACCCUGGUAGUCCACGCUGUAAACGAUGUCGAUUUGGAGGUUGUGCCCUUGAGGCGUGGCUUCCGGAGCUAACGCGUUAAAUCGACCGCCUGGGGAGUACGGCCGCAAGGUUAAAACUCAAAGGAAUUGACGGGGUCAUAGC
rnacentral:rRNA from 1 species